GCAGCUUUCCUCUGCCACACUUUCCCUCCAGGCUGUUCUGCCUUUCCUGAAGCCCCCAGGAAUGGUACUGGCCUUCUGUGGACUGAGACUUCUGUGAGCCCUCAAAUAAGCUCUUCCUCCUCUUAAUUGUUCUUGACAGGCCUUUUGGUCGCAGCAUGGGAAAAAGCUGACCAAAACAGAUGGUCCCUGUGGUGCUCUGAGUUUAUUAUAAAACAGAGCUCAUGCAUUAUCAUGCUGGUGUGAGGAUUAAAGAGUAUGUUCAGGAACACAUCCACCAUUGGGUUCUGCCCAGGGUGGACCUGGGAUAAAUGCUUAGGAAAGACACUUGCUGUUCUGAAAUUGUUUUAGACUUACAGAAGAGUUGCUAAGAGAGGACAUAGUGUCUGUACACUGCCAACCAGCUUCUCAUGAUAACAACCUGCAUACCUGUAACACCUUUAUUAAAGCUAAGACAUGAACACAAAUACAAUUUUAUUAACUAAAAAAAAAAAAGACUUUAUUUGGAUUUCAUUAGUCUUUCAAUUGAUAUUCACUUUCUGUCCCAGAAUGUCUUUGAGGAUACACUGUUACGUUGGGUCAUCAUUUCUCCCUAAUUUCUAAUCUAUAACAAAUGCUUGGUCUUUUUUUUGCCUCUGUGACCUUGAUGAUGUGAAGACUACUUUUCAGGUAUUUUAAGAAUAUCCACCAAUUUAGAUUUGUCUGCCACUUACUUAAGCUGUAGUUAAGUAUUUUUGGAAGGGAUGUCAAAGAGGUGAUCACGCGAUUUCAGAGGUGCAUGUGAAUCUAGGCACAUAGAUUUGGGAGCCGAGUGCAAAAGGAAAAUGUGAAAUUUCCUAUUCAAACAUCAGGGGGAAAAAUGUAAAUUUACUGUAAUACAAAGCAUUUCCUUUCCCUCAACAAUUUCUCUCUCAACUUGUCAUGUUGAUUUUUAUUUGCUAUUUAAUGCCAUUCUAAAUAAAGAAAAAAACAGCAUUUGAAAUUAUUAGCAUGAAUUUUAUCAUUCAUCUUUGCAUUGUGCAAUGACAGUUUUAAAUGGGAAUAUAGGAGCAUUAACUCAUGCAGUAGUACCCCAAAUUACACAAUUUUGUAUUUUGAAGUUUGCGCUUGUAUGCAUUUUGUUCUUACCAAACCAGCAAAGAUGCUGUGCAAAACUAAAUCGACUAUUUUUCUGUUGCUUCUUAAUAGGCACACGCUCUACUAACAUUUUCUACCUUUGGUUUACUGAUGAAAAAGAAAGGACUAACACCGAAAGGAACAUUGAGUGUCCUACAUUUCAUUUCCCUUCUUUCUCUCUCUCUCUCUCUUCGGCAUAAGCCGUGGGUUGUAAGAGGAAGUAACAGGAGUAGGAAAGGAUGGAACAGAGUUUCAUGUUCAUUGAUGUCUCAUAGAACGCCCUCACCUGGCUUCUGCAUUCAAAGCAAGUUCCAAAGGAAGAAUGACUUCUAAGGGAUGUCAGUGUCCCUGCAAAUUCAAUCCUAGAUGUAAGCGAAUGUGUUAAAUUUUACCUGGUACUUGCUCUGGGUCUCACUGAACUUCUCUGCACUGUGGGCCCAUUGGAAUCCUGUGAUGGGGGACAUCCUAAAUCUCAAUAUGUGAAUCAAAUGGCAAUGAAUGCUAGACAUGCAUAUUGUGUGUCUCACCUGCUCAAAGACACAACACAUCAAAAGCCCAGCAUUAAAAAGCCCAAGCAUGGGCCUCUACCCCACAUGGAAAUACUGUAGCUAUCUAAGUUACCACCUACAAAGCCAGUUCCAAGUCCAUAAUAGCAUGUUACUUACCAUGGCUGCUAACUUUGUCUGGCUGAGGUCCUGUCUGCCAGUUUCCUCCAUUGCAAAGUUACUACUUCUCCCUUGUCACACUCCAACUGUUAGAAGCGAAUCAGUAAGUCCUGCCUACCCUCAGAGGGAGGCGAAAUGAAGCACCAUCUCCAGGAGGGAAGAGUCUCAAAAAAUUUUCAGGCAUGCUUGUUAAAACUGACACGGUAAUUAAUACGCAUCUCGGGGGUAAGUGAUGCUUUCUGCAAUCUCAUAAUUCAAGGGCCAAUUUUGGAAUUUCAUGACCCACAUCUUGCUUCCAGUUCUGUGCUACUCUCUGGCAAAAAUAUAAGAAAUUGACAUGAGUAGUAAGAGUGAGAAAGAGAACCCCCUCCACCCCGUGUAGAGCAAUGCCAGUCUCUGUAAGAGACUCUCCGUCUUGGGACUGGCCUAGGCCAUAGGGGAAGUGACCCUCUCUCUAGGAACUAGGCUGACCUACUUUCUUCAGAAAUCUUUCCCUCCCUGGGUUAUGGGCAGCACAUGGUGAGGUGGAGCACUAUUCAUAGCCUCCUCUCCAAGUGGAGGGCUGGGCGUGCGUCAUUAUCUGCCUGGGGUGCAGGGAGCUCCGAGCCCCCUCAGCACCCAUGGUGCGCACAGCGUCUCUGCCUGCCCGCCAUCCCACUAGUUUGGCAGAUGCUAUCGGCAGAAGACGCUGAGUGCAGGCAAAUUAUUUCCACUACUUCCUGCUAAUUUCAAUAGUGCAUUCAUCCAAGGCUCUCAAAACUCUUAAUCAACGGGAAUAUGCUAACCUGAGGCUGGGUCACAGAGGGACAGCCUGGGGAUCUGGGUAGAUUGGUGACAGCUGCUGCCCUCUCUCUCUGAAGAGGAUGGGUGUAGAUAUCAUCAUGCUUGACGACAGGAGGAGGGAUGAGACGGUCUUUUAAGGUCUCUUCCAAUCUGGAAAGUCUAUGAAUAUCGCUACCAGCUGAGAGUGAUUCUCCAUGCCUUAUUCAUCACGAAAAUGACGCAAAUCCAGGAAAGCAGCUUUCUCAAAGUGUUGCGGAUCAAACCCAGGACUUCAUGCAUGCUAGCCAAGUACUCUACCAACUAAGCUACACCCUGAACUCCUAUGUUCAACAUUUUGAGGAACUUCCAGAUUAUUUUCCACAGUACCGUUAACAUUUAAUAUUACAUGUCUAUCCACUUGUUAAACAACUCCUUUAUCAUUAUUUAUUAGUGGAACAAAGGUAACUGAAAGCCUUCAUAUAUUCAUUCUUAAAAACUUCAGUAUUCCUAUGACUAGUAGGUCUCCAUAUUUAAGUACCUUUUGCUAUAAAUUUGUAUUUAAUGCAAUGUGAAAAUAUUGAUGUAUGUGCUGGGAUUUGAAAAAUGAUAUUAUGUAUGUGACCCAAGCCCUUCUCAAAUAUAGAAUUCAAUCUCUGGACUCCUCCUCCCCCUAGAUGCACAUUUGGUUUCAUUUCCAUGAAGGAUUAUAUUUACCCACUGUAGAACAUCAUAUAAAAACACUAAUAGAAUAUAUACCUUUAAAAAAUAAAGCUUCUUUCACAAAGCCUACAGUCAUGAGGCAUCCUUAGGUUAUCUUUCACUAUAUGGACACACACCAUAAGGUCCAUCCCUGAACGACACUAAUGGACAUCUGAAUCAGCUGUAGCUUUUGGCUAUCUGAGUAAUUCUUCAGUGUUUAUUCCCAGAGAAGUCAUCGUGUGCAUGCACCCUGAAAUUUCUCUUAAUAUUGGAUUUUCUGGACCAUAGGGUAGGUAUAAGGAUAUCCAGAGCCAUGUUGUAUAGAAAUGAUCAGAGGGUCAUUCCUGGCCUUGCCCCGGUUCUCAGGACAGCAGUGUUCAAUGUGACACCCUACAGAUUUGCCCUUCUGAAGUUGAGGCCUCGCUUAGCUCUUGCUGGACAUUGAAGCUUUCCAUCCAUCCUGAAGGCUCCAGGCUAGCACCCAGGACCCUGCACAUUCCUUGGCUCUUGUUUUCCUGCCCCCAGCUUCAGAGUCAGCAUUGCAUAACUCCCUGCCCAGACUUCUGUACUCCCAGCUUCCGCAGAUUAUGUCUUGGAAAGGUUCUUUGUUAUAUGAAUUUAGACAAGGUCUCAUCAAGUUGUCCAGGCUGACCUUAGACUUGCAAUCCUCCUGCCACCUCCUAUUGAGUAACUGGGGUUGUAGGUGUGUGCCACACAAAGUAGCUUCUGCAGGUUUGGUAGUAUUUUUUUCUGUGAAUAGUAUCAUCUGCAAAAGGAUCCCUUUGUGCAGGCUUAAAGUUCAACAAAAUAUGCCCUUUCAGUAAAGAGAACACUGUAAGUCUUCCUACAGUUGAGUUUUGUAUUCUUACUAAUAUUAAAGGAACUUGUGUCUUUC